rnacentral:rRNA from 1 species
UACGUAGGGACCGAGCGUUGUCCGGAUUCAUUGGGCGUAAAGGGCUCGUAGGCGGCUGCUCAAGUCGAAUGUGAAAACUCGAGGCUCAACCUCGAGCCUGCAUUCGAUACUGGGCGGCUAGAGUCUGGUAGGGGGAUCUGGAAUUCCUGGUGUAGCGGUGGAAUGCGUAGAUAUCGGGAGGAACACCAGUGGCGAAGGCGGUUCUCUGGGCCUGUACUGACGCUGAGGAGCGAAAGCGUGGGGAGCGAACAGG